UGACUUUAUUUCAUGGUGAGUAAAAAUAUGACUUAUUUAUCUUAAACUAUGUAUUAUAUUGGGCUAGAGAGUAUCAGACAAACUAAAGAAUAACAAGAUCACUGUGAAAAUUCUAGCAGGAGACACUGACAGGGUACAAAACAAAGAUGUAGAAGAGUUGAUAUUUAUUUUUCCCAGUGCAGAAAUCUCAAGGGGUCUCCAGAAAUGACAAAGAACUACAGUUGCUGUUAGCAUAACGUGCAUAACAACAAUAGGAUUAUACAUUCUGCCUGGUAAAGACUUGGAGAAAUGGCUCUCAGUUAAGGGCCCUGGCAGAACUAAAGUUAAUUUCUAGCUCUCAUCCAUCUCAGGUGGCUCACAAUUGCUUGAAGCUCCAGGUUCAGUGAAUCCAAUAGCCUCUUCCAGCCUCUGAGGGUAUCCACAUACAUGACAUACAUGUCUUGCAUACACACAGACACACAGGGGGAGAGAGAGAUGGGGAGAGAGAGAGAGACAGAGACAGAGACAGUGAUAGAGACAGAGAGAGACAGAGAGACAAAGACAGAGAGACCCAGAAACAUACCUAUAAAUAAAAAUAAAAUAAUUCUUUAAAAACAAAGCCACCUGGAUAUGGUAGGAGGCGCUUGGUGCUCAUGGAUGAAGCCUCUGUGUGGUCUUGUGAGAUGAGUGUGCUGCUGUUGUGGAGUGGAGUGGCAGGGUCCACAGGGCUUGGUUAUACCUGGGUCAUGGGUGGUAUGGAGUUUGUGUUCUUUCUGUCUGCUGGGCAUGUUCUUCUCUGACACACAGCACUAAAAUCUCUGACUUUGAUAAGGUUAAUUUCUUUGUGCUUCACAUCCCGAGACAUUCUGUUGGUAGGGGCAUAUGCAGCAGGUAGCUAUGUCUCUGUGAUCAUUGGCACUCAGGUUGAUUAUUGAUACAUCUGGAUCAAUGUUGGCUAUAUUUGUCAUGGUGUUUUAUUUGUUCUUUAUUCUGCAUUUCCAUUUCAUUGUCCACUCACAAAGAUCCACUUGCCUCUGCCUCCCAAGUGCUGGUAUUAAAGGUGUGUACCACCACCAAGGCUUAGCUGAGCUUUUUAUGAUGCCACUUACUCUUCUUUCUUUGUUGUAUUUUGCUCGGAUUUCUUUUCCUAGUGGUUGGCUUAUGGUUUGCAGGAUAAAUUGUAACAAAUCUAAGCUCGCUUUUGAAUAGCACCAUUCCAUCUCACAGAUGCCUUAUACUAGCAA
rnacentral:lncRNA from 1 species